rnacentral:lncRNA from 1 species
UUAUUCACAGAAAAUAUAAAGGGAUGCAUAGGAAGAUAUUUUAAAUGCUUAUGACAAAAUAUUAUUAAAAAAAAUUUCCCCCUCUUAUUUUAGAUCUUUAUUUGCCGAAGAUUGUCCCUCAGAAUAGAUUUUCACAUUACAGUUUGCCUACUUUUAUCUAGAGAUAUGAUCUCAUGUAAAAAGUAACUGCCUUUGUUGGCAUCUCUC